rnacentral:rRNA from 1 species
UACGUAGGUGGCGAGCGUUGUCCGGAUUUACUGGGCGUAAAGGGAGCGUAGGCGGACUUUUAAGUGAGAUGUGAAAUACUCGGGCUCAACUUGAGUGCUGCAUUUCAAACUGGAAGUCUAGAGUGCAGGAGAGGUAAGCGGAAUUCCUAGUGUAGCGGUGAAAUGCGUAGAUAUUAGGAGGAACACCAGUGGCGAAGGCGGCUUACUGGACUGUAACUGACGUUGAGGCUCGAAAGCGUGGGGAGCAAACAGG